rnacentral:rRNA from 1 species
AGAGUUUGAUCCUGGCUCAGGAUGAACGCUGGCUGUGUGCCUAAUACAUGCAUGUUGAACGAAGCUAAAAGUGCUUGCACUUUAAGACUUAGUAGCGAAUGGGUGAGUAACACGUACUUAACCUACCCCCAAGUUUGGGAUAACGUUUGGAAACGAACGCUAAUACCGAAUACGUAUUUUUAUCGCAUGAUAGAAAUAUAAAAGGAGCUUCGGCUUCGCUAGGGGAUGGGAGUGCGCUACAUUAGUUAGUUGGUAGGGUAAUGGCCUACCAAGACUAUGAUGUAUAGCGGGGCCGAGAGGCUGAUCCGCCACACUGGGACUGAGAUACGGCCCAGACUCCUACGGGAGGCAGCAGUAGGGAAUUUUCCACAAUGAACGAAAGUUUGAUGGAGCGACACAGCGUGCAGGAUGAAGGUCUUCGGAUCGUAAACUGCUGUUAUAAGGGAAGAAAAACUUUAGUAGGUAAUGACUAGAACUUGACGGUACCUUAUCAGAAAGCGACGGCUAACUAUGUGCCAGCAGCCGCGGUAAU